rnacentral:rRNA from 1 species
GGAGGAAAGCAGGGGAUCGCAAGACCUCGCGCUAUUGGAGCGGCCGAUGUCCGAUUAGCUAGUUGGUGGGGUAAUGGCUCACCAAGGCGACGAUCGGUAGCUGGUCUGAGAGGAUGAUCAGCCACACUGGGACUGAGACACGGCCCAGACCCCUACGGGAGGCAGCAGUGGGGAAUUUUGGACAAUGGGCGCAAGCCUGAUCCAGCCAUGCCGCGUGAGUGAAGAAGGCCUUCGGGUUGUAAAGCUCUUUCGGCCGGAACGAAAUCGACCGGGAUAAUACCCCGGUUGGAUGACGGUACCGGAAGAAGAAGCACCGGCUAACUACGUGCCAGCAGCCGCGGUAAUACGUAGGGUGCAGGCGUCAAUCGGAAUUACUGGGCGUAAAGCGUGCGCAGGCGGCUUCCUUAAGUCAGAUGUGAAAAUCCCCCCCCGGGGGGGCAUUUA